rnacentral:rRNA from 1 species
GACAAACGCUGGCGGCAUGCCUAACACAUGCAAGUCGAACGGACAGAACAGGGUAGCUUUUCGGAGUGGAACUGGAAAGUUGGUGGCGGCUGGGUGAUUAACGCGUGGACAACCUAUCUUGUAAAGGGGAAGAACCUCGAGAAACCGAAGCUAAUACCCCAUAAUAACCUUGCUUUGCAUGAAGUAAGGAGGAAAGGCGGCCUUAGCGCUGUCGAUACAAGAUGGGUCCGCGUCUGAUUAGCUAGUUGGUGGGGUAAAGGCCCACCAAGGGGACGAUCAGUUGACGGCCUGAGGGGGUGGACGAGCAAAUUGGGACUGGGAAACGGCCCCAGAUCCUAAGGGAGGGCGCAGUGGGGAAUCUUCCGCAAUGGGGGGAAGCCUGACGGAGGCAAGGCGCGUGAGUUGAAGAAGCCUUCCGGUUGUAAAACUCUGUACUUAUCGAAGAGAGAGUGUUGUAGUAAAUGACGAUACUAUGACGGUAGAUGCAGAAGAAGCCCCGGCUAACUAUGUG